AGCGAACGUUAGCGGCAGGCCUAACACAUGCAAGUCGCACGAGAAUCCGGCUUCGGCCGGUAGUAAAGUGGCGGACGGGUGAGUAACACGUGGAUAAUCUGCCCUUCGGCGAGGGACAACAGGCCGACAGGAUUGCUAAUACCGCAUACGUCAGCGAGGUCUUCGGACCUUGUUGGGAAAGAUGGCCUCUUCAUGGAAGCUAUCCCCGAAGGAUGAGUCCGCGGCCCAUCACCUAGUUGGCGUGGUAAUGGCCCACCAAGGCUAAGACGGGUAGCUGGUCUGAGAGGAUGGUCAGCCACACUGGAACUGAGACACGGUCCAGACUCCUACGGGAGGCAGCAGUGGGGAAUAUUGGGCAAUGGGCGCAAGCCUGACCCAGCCAUGCCGCGUGAGUGAUGAAGGCCUUCGGGUCGUAAAGCUCUGUGGGGAGGGAAGAAACCGGACGUGGAUAACACCCACGGCUCUUGACGGUACCUCCUUAGCAAGCACCGGCUAACUCCGUGCCAGCCGCCGCUGUAACAC
rnacentral:rRNA from 1 species